rnacentral:rRNA from 1 species
AGCGAACGCUGGCGGCAGGCCUAACACAUGCAAGUCGAACGAGCCCUUCGGGGUUAGUGGCGGACGGGUGAGUAACACGUGGGAACGUGCCUUUAGGUUCGGAAUAACUCAGGGAAACUUGUGCUAAUACCGAAUGUGCCCUUCGGGGGAAAGAUUUAUCGCCUUUAGAGCGGCCCGCGUCUGAUUAGCUAGUUGGUGAGGUAAUGGCUCACCAAGGCUACGAUCAGUAGCUGGUCUGAGAGGAUGACCAGCCACGUUGGGACUGAGACACGGCCCAAACUCCUACGGGAGGCAGCAGUGGGGAAUCUUGCGCAAUGGGCGAAAGCCUGACGCAGCCAUGCCGCGUGAAUGAUGAAGGUCUUAGGAUUGUAAAAUUCUUUCACCGGGGAAGAUAAUGACGGUACCCGGAGAAGAAGCCCCGGCUAACUUCGUGCCAGCCGCCGCAGUAAAA